UGAAGAUGAAGAAAAAAAUGUAACAGGCGUAUGUUAAGAAGUUUGAGAGAAAAAAAUGACCCAAUUAAUUUGGAUGACAGCGUUUUCAUUCAGCAUUUUCGCGUGAACAAACCAGUUUGUUGGGAUUUUAUGUCAAAGUGAGAGCCGGAGAAAUUUGCUUCCCAACAACAAGUGAAAUGCAAACACAAAAAAAAGAGGAUUUUAUUCGAAGUUUGGAAUAAAAGGCGUCAUUGGUGCAAUUGACUGCACACACAUUGGCAUUAUAGCACCUACAAACAACGACCCUACAAAUCCAGCAAGCCUGUAUAUGAACCGGAAGGGUAAUUACAGCGCCAAUGUAGAGGCAGUGUGUGACGCAAGCAUGAAUUUUUUGUCAAUAAACGCCAACUUUCAUGGGUCUUGUCAUGACUCGAAGAUAUGGACGACAUCCAUGAUUAGAAGCUUCUUAAUGGAUCAACGUGGAUGUUAGCUCAUAGGCAACCAAGGCUAUCCUCUGGAGCCCUGGCUACUAACCCCAGUUUCAGAACCAACAAGCGCGCUUGAGGAAAAUUACAAUAGAGUACACUGUGCAGCACGCAAUGUAAUUGAACGUACUUUGGUGUAUUGAAAUCAAGAUUUCGACGGCUCUUUCGAGAAGCCGAACGGAUUCGUGCACAUUUGAUGCGUAUGAUUUAGUUUUCACAGUUUUUAAUUAAUUUGUGAAGAAAUGAAUAGAAGAAGUAUUAAAAAAAAUAUUUUUAUUGUAUC